GUGGAAGUUGUCUCGUCGCGGGCGAAGCCACACCUUCGGGUCAUGGCCCCCUUUUUUUUAUCACGGGGGGACACCUUCGGGGCAAUGCCCCGCUAGUGUGGCGGCUCUCGCCGCCCGCAAAUACGGGCGGGGCACGGCGGGCGAGGUUCGCCCCUCCGUAAGCCCUGUCGAGUCCGGUGGUGCCGCCGGCGAGUCAGCCCACCGGGUGAGACCCUGUUGAGGGAGGCCCGGUGAGCGACUUCCAGCCAGGCGGCACAUGUCUUGUCUAGUCCGAGGUGAGAGCCGGCGAGCUCGGGUCCGAGUGUUCGGACCGGCUCAAGCCGGCGGGUGUCCUAUUAGAGAUUUUGUUGUUUUUAUGGGGAGAGAAAGACAUAUAGAUAUAAGUAGAUACAGUUAAUAUAAAUAUACAUACAUAAACUAUAAUACAAGUUGAGGAAGAGAAAAACGAAGAGAAAGGGGACAGCACCCAUAAAAACAACAAAAGAGGUCGAUCCGGUGAGUCAAUCCGGUGGGCCGCCGGCGAGGUCGAAGCCAUCAGACAGUGAUGGCUGUCCUCGAGCCGGCGGUCUUGGUCAGUCCAAUGCUGGGGCCGUCCGGAACACUCUGGGGCAGUUCAUCCAGUUUUUAUUUACGGUGCGGCGAGCGGCCGGAGCCGGGGCGUGGGAAGGGGGGGGGGGGGGGCAUGACACCUACCACCCCCUAUUUAAACGCCUCACCGGCGCGCCGGGUGCCCUCAGCCCGAAGGCUAGGAUCUACUUCCCCUGGGUGGGCCGGUCGCCCCCCGUUCAACCGUGUCGGGCGGUCGCUCUCUUGCCCACCCCCUUUCCGGGCCACCCACACUCGACAACCAGUGCCGAAGUGUGGGCGUUCCCAGUAGUGGGGUAGGGUUUCCGUAAGGGGAUCACCGGUCAAGGCGCGGGAGCCGCGAAACCGGACGACGGCUCCUCAAAAAUGCCCUGCCUACCCCGUUUCGCUCGCGGCAGGUGGCGCACUCCCGCCGGCUCGCUCCCGAAACUAAGCACACCCGGAAAACCAGUGCCGAAGUGAGGGGUUCGAGAGUUUGCCGACUAGGGGAGCGGACACGAGUCGCGAGGUGGGCGAUGUUGAAGUGAGGCGACUGUCCACUGAGGGUAGACAGUCGCGGCGGCUAUGCAGAGUGCAACACCACUCACCGCACUAGCACCGAGGGCAGGACAACAAAAAUUAAUAUUAACUUACCCUCGGUGUGACUGCUCAGUUUCAAUUUUUGGUGCGCGUGUUGGUUGAAAUCGGACGAUGUCGUGGGUGCCGCACAGCGAUCCGAAUAGUUCACUAUUCCCCUACCUUCUUUAUAUAGUAUAAUGGACCGUUCGCAUGGGCGCUCAUUUACAGGCCGCGGUCGAUGGUGACCCCGAGGUAUAUCACUAUUGGGGAUUACUCCCCCAUGAGGGUUGGAGGUGGCGGUAGGCGGCUGCUCCCUGUUAGUAGCGCUUGAGUUCUCCCCACGUUGACCUUCAAGCGCCACUUCUUUACCCAGUCCAGUAGGGCGUCCAUGGUGUGUUGUCUUGUUUACCGAUCGCGGGUUAUGUAAUAAUUUAUGUUGUGUACCACGGCACCCCUGUUCACCGCACUGUGAUGAUUUACACGAUGAUUUUCUCGUACCAUCGGAACUUCAAAAUUGAUAGUAGUUUGUCCAUAAUCACUCGAAGUAAUUCAGGGUUGAGCAUAUAUUGUUCCUUUCCCAGCGCUUGAAGUGUAGUCACGCUGUUCCUUAUUUUCCCAGCAAAAGCGCAUAUAUCUCGGAGCUUCGCUACAGCGUGGUAGGCUUCUCAAUCUUACAAUUUCUGCGAAUGCGAUUGCGUCGGGCCGAUGUGGUCUUCACGACAUCAUUAGGAUUGGGGUUUGCUAUCAAUAGCGAAUUUACUGCUGCUCUCUCUCUUAGGUUCCUUCGGAGUCUUGCUAUAUUUUCGACUUCGCUGUAAUGACUUCUUAAAAGUAAUUAAAACACAUAAUAACGGGUUCUUACCGCGUUUAAAAUAGGGAUAUGAGACUCCCGAUAUUUCGACACUGUUGCAAGUGCCAUGAUCACGGGAUGACUGAUGAGAUUGGAGUGGAGUAGGUAGAUCCAUAAUUUUCUACGGGCAGACAUAUCUGUCUACCCUCUUUCUUUGCCGCUUGUUUAUGUUAUUGAUAUCGGAAUGUUCGGAACCAUCUGAACUCGCACCAAACUCACUACGACAAACCGCACUCACUGUGUCCUCACGUUUUGUCACCACAUUAGGCCGUUUCAAGCUUUUUACAACACCUACUACUGGAUUCCACAUGCUCGAUAAUUUGAACCCGUCUUCCCUAUUGAUUUUUUUAAUGUUUUUUUUUUAAAUGUUUUCUUAAAAGUAUUUAUAAUAUUGAAUUUCUCAACGAAUUUCGUUUUUAUUUUCAAAUUAGUUUUUAGUACUAGUCAACUACCCUAUUCGACUCGUGCGUAGCUACACGUAAGAACACGGCAGCCGUUAUUAUUUAUACGUUAUUGAUUCGCGUGCACUUGUCAUUUGCAAAAUGAGACAGAUAUAUUUUCUCACGUUGGGAACGAACAAUUCCAAAAUACGUCUCUGACCAAAUUGCACUAGGGAACCGGUGUGCGCAUUGCCAUAGUGUUAGGAAGCUUUGGAAUUGUUUCCGUGUGUUCUCAAUCUGUUACGAAACCGCGUCUGAAGUGCGAUAGGGCCAACACUCUUAUUAAGGAGCCCUCUUUCACGACUCCGCUACCAUCCUAUAAAAUAUUCGAAUAAGUCCUGCCCUUGCGAUAUAGUUUAUAUUGAUAAAUUUGCAGACUGCUCGGUGUCAGCAAGCUUCCCACCAUCAGAUUGCUCGCUAGUUGACAGCCAGCAGUCGUUUUAGUUUAGGGCGGUAUUGUAGCAGGGUCGUGCAAGUGGGCUUACGACCUUAAUACCUCUAGUAAGGUCUAUUCUUGUAAACUAAUUGGCUUAUUUGUAUUAUUUCAAAUGAAAAUGACUAAAAAAAGCACGACAAUGAAUGUAAACUUUCAUGUAAAGUCCAUUUACAUUGGAUCAGUGAUUGGUGUCAAUACAGUGCCAACCCGAUGCUGUCAUCGUAUAAAGUAGUCGUAAAUUAUCAGCGCUGUCGUGUCGAUCACCGACCAGGGGGGUUAAAAAGACCACAAUUUUCUAUUAUUGAGUGUUGCUUUUUGACAUUUCUCACUUUUAUAGGCGCAAAUGUCAAAAUGCAAUAUUGCUUUUUAGACGAGUUGCUUCGAUGUGUCCUUUUUUACCCCCGUUGUCUAAUCGAUGUAAGCCAGUUCUCAACGCCAGCACCAUCUACUGGUGCUAUGGCGUCGAUCACUCACUCACUCACUGUAAAUGGAUCUUAAAAGAAAUGUAGCAAAAUGUAUUGUAAUGAAAUCUCUUGUAUUAUAUCAUGGAUUAACUAGGAAUACAAUGUAAAACAGAUGAUCCUUCGCCAUAAUGGAAAAUUUGCCGCUAAAACGCGCGCAAAUGGAGCGUCAGAGGCGAGCAUUUGUACUGUCUAAGUGUUCAUAAUAAUACGACACACUGUCACUAGAUGGCACUUUUCCAUAUGUAAGCUUAUACGGUUAGCGACAUCUAGUUACUCCAUGGCGAAUUAAUGAUAUACUACGGUCCCUGGCCAUAAUACAAAAAAGGCAUUGGUACUAAACUAAAAUGUAUGGAAGGGACCAAAUGCUAUAAUGUGUUUUAUGCUGUACAUGGAUCGCCUGCAGGGUUUUUUUUUCUUUUUUUUAUAUACUUUUUGUAGCUUUUUUUAAGAAUGCCUGUACGUGUAGAAAGAGUGUUAGGGGUGAUUUUUAUAUUAUUAUCAUUAGAAAUAAUAAAAUCUAUUGAAAUUGA